rnacentral:rRNA from 1 species
UACGUAGGUGGCAAGCGUUGUCCGGAAUUAUUGGGCGUAAAGCGCGCGCAGGCGGUCCUUUAAGUCUGAUGUGAAAGCCCACGGCUCAACCGUGGAGGGUCAUUGGAAACUGAGGGACUUGAGUGCAGAAGAGGAAAGCGGAAUUCCACGUGUAGCGGUGAAAUGCGUAGAGAUGUGGAGGAACACCAGUGGCGAAGGCGGCUUUCUGGUCUGUAACUGACGCUGAGGCGCGAAAGCGUGGGGAGCAAACAGGA